UACGUAGGGGGCAAGCGUUGUCCGGAAUUACUGGGCGUAAAGGGCGCGUAGGCGGCCCGCUAAGUCGAACGUGAAAUCCCCGGGCUCAACCCGGGAACUGCGUCCGAUACUGGCAGGCUUGAAUCCGGGAGAGGGAUGCGGAAUUCCAGGUGUAGCGGUGAAAUGCGUAGAUAUCUGGAGGAACACCGGUGGCGAAGGCGGCAUCCUGGACCGGCAUUGACGCUGAGGCGCGAAAGCCAGGGGAGCAAACGGG
rnacentral:rRNA from 1 species